rnacentral:rRNA from 1 species
UACAGAGGGUGCAAGCGUUGUUCGGAAUUAUUGGGCGUAAAGCGCGUGUAGGCGGCUUUGCAAGUCGGGUGUGAAAGCCCUCGGCUCAACCGAGGAAGUGCGCCCGAAACUGCAGAGCUUGAGUACCGGAGAGGAUGGCGGAAUUCCCCAAGUAGAGGUGAAAUUCGUAGAUAUGGGGAGGAACACCGGUGGCGAAGGCGGCCAUCUGGACGGAUACUGACGCUGAGACGCGAAAGCGUGGGGAGCAACA